CAUUUUUAAUAUUUUUUUUUAUUCACUUGCUUAGGCCGAAGAAUUUUUUUGUUUUAAGCUCUACUUCUAGUGUGUGCUUACAAGUUACAUAUUGCAUUUCGACAUUUAAGGCUGGCUCCCUAAAAAUAAAGACACUGAUUGGAUAGUGUACAAAGCACUUGUGUUACAGUCAUCUAAUGUUCAUCUAUUAUUGGCUAGUAAUUCUUGUUUCACCUUGUACUUAAGCUUUUUAAAGGAGAACUAGAAUUCUAAGAAAGCUAAUAGUUAACACUAGAAUUAUGUUUUUUUUUUAAAUUAUGUACCACUAGUUAUUCAGGUUAAAUGAUGACAUUGUACAGUGCCCAGAAACACACAGAGUGGACUUAGAUUUAAACUAACGUUAUUGAUAAAGUAGUUGUAGAGUUAUCUCAGCUGAAACAAGAAGAAAGAUGAACAAUUUGGUGGGUUAGUCACUUCUGUUUUGGUAUCUUAGCCUUGGUUUCUUGCCUUAUUUUUGGGUUUGUUGGGUAGAGAAACAAAUGAAACAUUUUGGCCACUGUGCCUGAGGAUGAAAUUCUGUCCAAUGUGUAUGAAAGUUUAGAGAAACAUAUUUUUGCCAUGGCUCAUGUUUUGCAGCAAACAGCCAUUGUUAUAUCUGAUACAAUGUUAAAAUAUUCAACAGGAGAACAUUUUGCUUCAAUUCCUUUUGGUAGAAAUUAUCUUCCAUUGGCACUCUCAAAAUGUCAAGUCAUCACUUUGCUUCACAUAUGAUGUUGUCCAAUUUUCUGCUUUGGUUGUUAUGGAAAUGGAACUUCCACUGAUAAAACAGUGGACACACAGCAGCUAUUCCAUUGACUGAUUCUUACUACAAACUACUUCCACUCCAGUUUUUGUUGAAUAGGAGUUAAAUUGUAUUGUGAUGAAAACGACCACUGGAUCAUAUCAAAACUCAUGCUAACAGACAAGUAGGCUUGCUGUAAAAAUGCUUUGACAUUGUAGAAAUUUCUAUUUCACUUCUUCAGGUAAAAAAAGGUGUUUCAGUAAUGACAAAUGGAUUUUCUGAUGAUAAAAAUAAAUCACCUUAUGUUAGUUCCAAUUUUGAUGAAACAAUAUCUGAUUCAGGAAAUAGUUUACAGCAUAAGAAAAAAGCUUUUAAACAGUUCUACACUGUUAAUAAACUGUUUGGCAUAAUUGGAAAAAUCACGAGUAAGAAGUUAAAAAACAUACAAAGUAGCUGGUAAUAUUACUAAAAACUGUAAUUUUUUUAAAGGGUGUUGCUGAAUUACCUGUGAUUGUUUCACUGAAAGAAAAAGAACCUUUAUGUAUCAUCUUCUGUAGAAUGGGAGAGUUAGUUAAGAGCUGGAUGGCCUUUUGCUUGAAGGAAACUUUAAUGCAGACUUCAAGGUCUGAAGAUCAUGUAGUAAUGAUAGAGAAAUUGUUAUAUGAAUUAUUAUGACAUCAGAUCUGAAUAUAUGAACAAACAGACGAGUGUCUGGGUUAAUGUAAUGGAUGGCCAGUUCUGUUUCAUACUUCUAAAUGUUCACAUACUAGUGUUGAAGUGGCAUUUUGUUUUGCCACUACACAUGUACUUAUACAGACCCUUGAAUAUAGAAGUGUUGGUAUUUGAA